rnacentral:RNase_P_RNA from 1 species
GAGCCGGUCGGGUGAUCGCUCCGAUAAUUGGAGAGGAAAGUCCGAACACCGCAGAGCAGGAUGCCUCCUAACGGGAGGGAUUUCGAUCCGCCAGCUGGCGGAAAGGAUACGGCAAGUGCAGCAGAAAGUAGACUACCUCAACACUUGUGUUGGGGAAAAGGUGAAACGGUGGUGUAAGAGACCACCAGUUCUGGUGGAAACAUCAGAAGCUGGGUAAACCCCAUCCGGUGCAAGAUCAAGCAGCUCCGAGAUGUUGCUCGCAUCAUUAUAAGGAGCGGGUAGAUCGCGUGAACCCGAUCGUGAGGUCGAGUCCAGAUGAAUGAUCACCGUCCGUCAACCGGCGGAUACAGAAUUCGGCUUAUAGACCGGCUCC